rnacentral:rRNA from 1 species
GCAUUCAACGCGUUGGGAGCUCUCCCAUAUGGUCGACCUGCAGGCGGCCGCGAAUUCACUAGUGAUUCGUAUUACCGCGGCUGCUGGCACAGAGUUAGCCGGUGCUUAUUCUGAGAGUACCGUCAAGAACUACCCUUCUUCAGGUUAACCCCUUCUUCCUCUCCUAAAGUGCUUUACAACCUUGAAGGCCUUCUUCACACACGCGGCAUCGCUGGAUCAGGGUUCCCCCCAUUGUCCAAUAUCCCCCACUGCUGCCUCCCGUAGGAGUCUGGGCCGUGUCUCAGUCCCAGUGUGGCUGGCCGUCCUCUCAGACCAGCUACGGAUCGUCGCCUUGGUAGGCCUUUACCCUACCAACUAGCUAAUCCGACAUAGGCUCCCCUCACAGCACCAGGCCUCUCGGUCCCGGCUUUUGGUCUCUCGACUUUAUACGGUAUUACCCCAGGUUUCCCCAGGCUAUCCCCUUCUGUAAGCUAAAUUCCUAUGCGCUACUCACCCGUCCGCCACUCGCCACCACCUCUAGUUUCCUAAAGGCAUGCUGCCGUUCGACUUGCAUGUGUUAGGCAUGCCGCCAGCGUUCAAUCUGAGCCAUGAUCAAACUCUAAUCGAAUUCCCGCGGCCGCCAUGGCGGCCGGAAGCAUGCGACGUCGGGCCCA